GCUCACCUGAAUAAUAGCCUUUAAAUAAUGGUUAGUAACGACCAUGCUAUUACUUACAAACCGCUACAACCUACAAUUUAAAUGCCAUUAUAUAUAGGGGAAACAAUAACAGAAGGCCAAAAACUUAUAAAUAACGGCUGUUAGGUAAUGCAACGGGCCAACAACCAUUUUUUAAACCAUGAUUGCAAAUUGCCUCGUCUUCACUCAUUUGUCAUUGUGCCAUGGUGGCACCCUUGUGAUAUCUAAUAAGUCUCGCCCAAUAAUCUCCCCUAGACUCCAACAUCUACUUUAUUUGCCAAGAUGUGAUUUUAGGUGAACUAUUUUUUUUUUUUCUUCUUAUUGUGUAUGUGAUUAACAAGCUGUUUUGGAAUUGGAUGAAUUUGGGUUUUUCAAAAUUUUGGAUUUUUUUUAUAGUUUUCUUAAAUUGGAGUUUUAGGAAUUGUAAUUUUAAGAUUUCAAGUUUUGGUUUGUAAUUUAGUGAUUGUUUUGGGUAUUCAAGGGUAUUGGGUGAUUGUUUUCCCAAUUUGAGCAGUAGAUUGAAUGCGAGUUACUAUUAAUGGAAUUAAUAUUAAAAUCUCUUACUCUAUUAUUAAUUUAGUUCUAAAAUGAAAAUUCAGUUUGAUUUGCAAAAGUGUUGUUAGGCCAACUUGUUAAUUUGAUUUGCUUACGACCAUAGUUUUAAAUUGCAAUCGCGAGUAAUGAAAAUGGGCCUGUAACAGUAAUAACGUAACAGUAACGGCCUAUCGCUACACAAAUUUUUUUGAACAAUUUACAAAAUGGAAUGAACAAAUAUUCAAAAUUAUAAUUAAACUAAGAUAUACAAAUAAAUAUUAAGCACAAAUAUAUCAAAUAAA
rnacentral:misc_RNA from 1 species